AUCCUCUUUAAUAAGCGAUCCCGUGAGGUCGACAAGAGGCAGGAAUCUUCCCAUGCGCAUAUGGUGAAGCUGGCCUCUUUGUGUCCGCACAAAGAGGCUUUUUGUU
rfam:Brevibacillus sp. CF112 PMI08_contig_120.120, whole genome shotgun sequence.